CCUUACUCAGACGCCGGCCUUGCAAAGCCCGCUGGCUCCCUCUGCCGUCUGCCAGGGCGAGCACACAGCAGCUCCACGGCAGGGGAGCCUGGCAGGACAGGGCUGUCACUGGGCUGUCACUGCAGAGGUGAGGGGUGUCACUGGAGAGGUGAGGGGUGUCACUGGGGUUUCACUGGAGAGGUGAGGGGUGUCACAGGGCUGUCACUGGGCUGUCACUGGAGAGGUGAGGGGUGUCACUGGAGAGGUGAGGGGUGUCACUGGGGUGUCACUGGAGAGGUGAGGGGUGUCACUGGGGUGUCACUGGAGAGGUGAGGGGUUUCACAGGGGUGUCAGUGGCUGUCGGGUCCCUCUGGCACGGGGUGGCUCCUACAAG